rnacentral:sRNA from 1 species
AGGGUACAUUGGUGGUGUUUGUUUCUAAUUAAAGAACUGUGCUUUAUCAAACAGUAAAAGGAAAUGUCAUUACAAUUCCUCUUGUCAACACAGACCUGUAUGUACCAAAGAAAACAACUCCAACCAAAGAUCUGGCAUCAGUACAGCCACAACAGAAGCAAGGAAGCGAAUGACAUCAACAAAAGCACGUCCUUAGAAACAAAAGUAAAUUAUUGUGCACAAAAGAAGACAUCACCCCUCUAUAAGAUAAAUUAUAUCCUAUGUUGAAUUAUUGAAAAUUAUUUUAUCAGAAGAAUAUUUUAAAUAUCAAGUUAUACAUUUGAAUCAUUUAAAAAUGUAGAUACUUAAAAGGUAAAUAUAAUCAUAAAAUUUUUUGAUAUUUAAUAUUUAAUUCAAAAUGAGGUUAUAUUUGUUGUUUUCAUGUUUACAUAUUUGCUCCAACAUAUGAGAAUUUAAUUGC